rnacentral:rRNA from 1 species
ACAUGCAUCUGUUGUUUCAAGAUUAGCCAUGCAUGUCUAAGCAUGCGCUGAAGUAAAGUGAAGCCGCGAAUAGCUCAUUACAACAGCCGUUGUUUCUUGGAUCUCUUCUCUACUUGGAUAACUGUGGUAAUUCUAGAGCUAAUACAUGCAACGAAGCUCCGAACGUAAGUGACGAGCGCAUUUAUUAGACCAAAGCCAUCCGGCUUCGGCCGUACUUUGGUGACUCUGAAUAACCUAGCCGAUCGCAUGGGCUUGUCCCGGCGACGAAUCUUUCAAGUGUCUGCCUUAUCAACUUUCGAUGGUAGUCUAUGCGACUACCAUGGUUGUGACGGGUAACGGAGGAUCAGGGUCUGACUCCGGAGAGGGAGCCUGAGAAACGGCUACCACUUCUAAGGAAGGCAGCAGGCGCGCAAAUUACCCAUUCUCGGAACGAGGAGGUAGUGACGAAAAAUACCAAGGUGAGGCUCAUUGAGUUUCGCCAUUGGAAUGAGAACAAUCUAAAUCUUUUAACGAGGAUCUAGUUGAGGGCAAGUCUGGUGCCAGCAGCCGCGGUAAUUCCAGCUCAGCGAGUGUAUUCCUUCUUGCUGUGGUUAAAAAGCUCGUAGUUGGAUCUGAGUGCUUAGCGUCUAGUGCAGUUCGCUGUUACUGGGCGCGGCACAUGAUCGUCAAUCGGUUGCCGUUGUUGCCUUAACUGGUGAUGGCGGUUUACUGUUGACAAGUUUACUUUGAACAAAUCAGAGUGCUCAAUACGGGCGUUUCGCUUGUAUGGUUGUGCAUGGAAUAAUAGAAUAGGACCUUGGUUCUAUUUUGUUGGUUUUCGGAAUUGAGGUAAUGAUUAAGAGGGACAGACGGGGGCAUUCGUACUCCAGCGUGAGAGGUGAAAUUCUUGGAUCGUUGGAAGACGAACUACUGCGAAAGCAUUUGCCAAGAAUGUUUUCAUUAAUCAAGAACGAAAGUAAUGGGUUCGAAGGCGAUCAGAUACCGCCCUAGUCAUUACCGUAACGAUUGUAACUGGGAGCUAGCAGCGUUUUCUAUGACUCUGCUAGAACCCACCCGGAAACGAGAAGUCUUCGAUAUCCGGGGGAAGUAUACUUGCAAAUGCGAAACUUAAAGGAAUUGACGGAAGGGCACCACCAAGGGGUGGGAG